rnacentral:rRNA from 1 species
GAUAAACGCUGGCGGCGUGCAUAACACAUGCAAGUCGAACGAUGAAACUUAAAUGAUUUCUUCGGAAUGAACUUAAGUGGAUUAGUGGCGAACGGGUGAGUAACACGUGAGUAACCUGCCUUACACAAGGGGAUAGCCUCUGGAAACGGAGAAUAAUACCCUAUAAAGUCUAAUCAGCCCAUGCUGGAAAGACCAAAGAUUUAUCGGUGUAAGAUGGACUUGCGUCUGAUUAGCUAGUUGGUGAGAUAAAAGCUCACCAAGGCGACGAUCAGUAGCCGGCUUGAGAGAGUGUACGGCCACAUUGGGACUGAGACACGGCCCAAACUCCUACGGGAGGCAGCAGUGGGGAAUUUUGCACAAUGGGGGAAACCCUGAUGCAGCGACGCCGCGUGAUUUAGAAGGCCUUCGGGUUGUAAAAAUCUUUUUUACGGGAUGAAAAUGA